rnacentral:rRNA from 1 species
CUAACACAUGCAAGUCGAACGGGUAACAGGAAGAAGCUUGCUUCUUUGCUGACGAGUGGCGGACGGGUGAGUAAUGUCUGGGAAACUGCCUGAUGGAGGGGGAUAACUACUGGAAACGGUAGCUAAUACCGCAUAACGUCGCAAGACCAAAGAGGGGGACCUUCGGGCCUCUUGCCAUCGGAUGUGCCCAGAUGGGAUUAGCUAGUAGGUGGGGUAACGGCUCACCUAGGCGACGAUCCCUAGCUGGUCUGAGAGGAUGACCAGCCACACUGGAACUGAGACACGGUCCAGACUCCUACGGGAGGCAGCAGUGGGGAAUAUUGCACAAUGGGCGCAAGCCUGAUGCAGCCAUGCCGCGUGUAUGAAGAAGGCCUUCGGGUUGUAAAGUACUUUCAGCGGGGAGGAAGGGAGUAAAGUUAAUACCUUUGCUCAUUGACGUUACCCGCAGAAGAAGCACCGGCUAACUCCGUGCCAGCAGCCGCGGUAAUACGGAGGGUGCAAGCGUUAAUCGGAAUUACUGGGCGUAAAGCGCACGCAGGCGGUUUGUUAAGUCAGAUGUGAAAUCCCCGGGCUCAACCUGGGAACUGCAUCUGAUACUGGCAAGCUUGAGUCUCGUAGAGGGGGGUAGAAUUCCAGGUGUAGCGGUGAAAUGCGUAGAGAUCUGGAGGAAUACCGGUGGCGAAGGCGG